CGUGGCUCCAAAUUCUUAGUCAUGGUUUUGUAAAUGGAUUAUACUUUUAAUAUAUUUUAGAUGAGGCAUUUUUGUCCUACCUCUGAAUGAAUAAGAUGUGUUGUAUUUCUUGUAAAUUUGGCUUAGAAGGCUAUAUUGCUUUCACUUAUAAAUGUUGAAAGACAAUUAUGACAUGGCUUUAAAGCAAAUUUGAGGACUUUUUGUCCUCCUAUGCACAUUAAGAAAGAAAAAGUUGGGAAAUAUAUUUGGUGAUAGUUUAUUUAUUUGUACUACAUUUCAUUUGUAUUUAGUUUUAUCAUCCAUGGAAUCGAGGUUUGUUGCUGGUAACAUUCGAUGGUUAAUCUAGUGGUCUUGUUAAACUUAUCAGCAAUCCCUUUCUUUUUUCACAUUAUAGAUGGAUACUGGCUAACCUUUGCAGUUUCAAAGUAAUUUGGCCAAUUUGUUAGUUUAGUACGUUAAUUUUGAUUAGUUAGGGAUGUAUACGCAAAGCUUCUAUUUUGCACCUGAGAUCUUUGUUGAUAGUUCUCAGGAUAGAUUUGUUCUGCUUGUGAGGUCCAAGAUGACUAUAAUACCUUCAUUCUGUUGCGACUUUUGGGAUGUAUACCUUAGAGAUGGUAUUCAUUUUUAUUUAUUUAUAACAGGU
rnacentral:misc_RNA from 1 species